rnacentral:hammerhead_ribozyme from 1 species
UGCUGAAGAGUCCCAAACAGGACGAAACAGUUGUUCA